rnacentral:rRNA from 1 species
CGGCGUGCCUAAUACAUGCAAGUCGAGCGGACCGACGGGAGCUUGCUCCCUUAGGUCAGCGGCGGACGGGUGAGUAACACGUGGGUAACCUGCCUGUAAGACUGGGAUAACUCCGGGAAACCGGGGCUAAUACCGGAUGCUUGAUUGAACCGCAUGGUUCAAUCAUAAAAGGUGGCUUUCAGCUACCACUUACAGAUGGACCCGCGGCGCAUUAGCUAGUUGGUGAGGUAACGGCUCACCAAGGCGACGAUGCGUAGCCGACCUGAGAGGGUGAUCGGCCACACUGGGACUGAGACACGGCCCAGACUCCUACGGGAGGCAGCAGUAGGGAAUCUUCCGCAAUGGACGAAAGUCUGACGGAGCAACGCCGCGUGAGUGAUGAAGGUUUUCGGAUCGUAAAACUCUGUUGUUAGGGAAGAACAAGUACCGUUCGAAUAGGGCGGCACCUUGACGGUACCUAACCAGAAAGCCACGGCUAACUACGUGCCAGCAGCCGCGGUAAUACGUAGGUGGCAAGCGUUGUCCGGAAUUAUUGGGCGUAAAGCGCGCGCAGGCGGUUUCUUAAGUCUGAUGUGAAGCCCCCGGCUCAACCGGGGAGGGUCAUUGGAAACUGGGGAACUUGAGUGCAGAAGAGGAGAGUGGAAUUCCACGUGUAGCGGUGAAAUGCGUAGAGAUGUGGAGGAACACCAGUGGCGAAGGCGACUC